rnacentral:rRNA from 1 species
CGGUGCGAUCAUACCAGCCUAAUGCCCGAUCCCAUCAGAACUCGCAGUUAAAUGCUGGCGAGAGUAGUACUAGGAUGGGUGACCUCCUGGGAAGUUCUCGUGUUGCACCCC